CAAGGGAGCAACAGGGCUGAGGAGAUACCUGUUCUCCCAGUUUCACGGCCAGUACAAGGCCAUUCUUACACUGCUCGGGGGAGCCCCUCAGGAGAAGACACAUUUAAGAGUUUCCAGCAAGAAGAGUCAGGUCAUGCAGUCAGCUGCUUUCUCAGCCCAGCUGUGGGAAUGUAAACAAGUUUCUAACCUCAUUGAAUCUUAGGUUCCCUGUUUGGAAACAGAUGAGAUCCACAACAGCCAUUAUCUUAUUGGAUGGUUGUUGUAUGGCAGGGGCUGUACUGAAGAGUCACACACAUUACUUAGUCUUCCCAACAAUCCUGCAAGAUAUAGAACCUUGACAUGUUUCUCAGGCUGGUCUGAAACUCCUGGGGCUCAAGCGAUCCACCUGCCUCCACCUCUCAAAGUGCUGAGAUUACAGGGAUGAUGCAUCUGAGAGCUCAAUGCAUGUCGGUGAUGAUGAAGGUGAAGAUGCUGUGAGUGAUGAUGAGGAGGAGGAGGAGGAUGUAAUUGAAGGAGCUUGGGCUUUGCCAUCAGUACAGCUGAGUUAAAAUGGCCUAUGGUUCAUCCUGCAAUAUCAGAGAAUACACAACUGUUGGAAGCUCAUUUGUGCAGAAGCACUAGUUAGACCAAGUCCCAGGAUGGUGGGGACUUGAACUGCCUCAUGCACAUUGUACCCAAGAGCCUGGCCCAUGAAGGUGAAUCAGUGGAUACUUGAAUAAAAAGAAGAAUAUGCGCUGAAGUUUUCUUUGAGGACAUUUUUUUUUCUUUCCAUAGUUUUGAGCAUCUCUGAUGUUUUGAGAUUUCUGCCAGUCUUUGAGGAUGUAAUGCUCAAUUAGACUUGUUCUCUGUCCUCAAA
rnacentral:lncRNA from 1 species